GAUGAACGCUGGCGGCGUGCCUAAUACAUGCAAGUCGAGCGAACAGAUGAGGAGCUUGCUCCUCUGACGUUAGCGGCGGACGGGUGAGUAACACGUGGAUAACCUACCUAUAAGACUGGGAUAACUUCGGGAAACCGGAGCUAAUACCGGAUCAUAUAUUGAACCGCAUGGUUCAAUAGUGAAAGACGGUUUUGCUGUCACUUAUAGAUGGAUCCGCUCCGCAUUAGCUAGUUGGUAAGGUAACGGCUUACCAAGGCAACGAUGCGUAGCCGACCUGAGGGGGUGAUCGGCCACACUGGAACUGAGACACGGUCCAGACUCCUACGGGAGGCAGCAGUAGGGAAUCUUCCGCAAUGGGCGAAAGCCUGACGGAGCAACGCCGCGUGAGUGAUGAAGGUCUUCGGAUCGUAAAACUCUGUUAUUAGGGAAGAACAAAUGUGUAAGUAACUAUGCACGUCUUGACGGUACCUAAUCAGAAAGCCACGGCUAACUACGUG
rnacentral:rRNA from 1 species